rnacentral:rRNA from 1 species
CCGGUAAACGGCGGCCGUAACUAUAACGGUCCUAAGGUAGCGAAAUUCCUUGUCGGGUAAGUUCCGACCUGCACGAAUGGCGUAAUGAUGGCCAGGCUGUCUCCACCCGAGACUCAGUGAAAUUGAACUCGCUGUGAAGAUGCAGUGUACCCGCGGCAAGACGGAAAGACCCCGUGAACCUUUACUAUAGCUUGACACUGAACAUUGAGCCUUGAUGUGUAGGAUAGGUGGGAGGCUUUGAAGUGUGGACGCCAGUCUGCAUGGAGCCGACCUUGAAAUACCACCCUUUAAUGUUUGAUGUUCUAACGUUGACCCGUAAUCCGGGUUGCGGACAGUGUCUGGUGGGUAGUUUGACUGGGGCGGUCUCCUCCUAAAGAGUAACGGAGGAGCACGAAGGUUGGCUAAUCCUGGUCGGACAUCAGGAGGUUAGUGCAAUGGCAUAAGCCAGCUUGACUGCGAGCGUGACGGCGCGAGCAGGUGCGAAAGCAGGUCAUAGUGAUCCGGUGGUUCUGAAUGGAAGGGCCAUCGCUCAACGGAUAAAAGGUACUCCGGGGAUAACAGGCUGAUACCGCCCAAGAGUUCAUAUCGACGGCGGUGUUUGGCACCUCGA